rnacentral:rRNA from 1 species
GAUGAACGCUGGCGGCGUGCCUAAUACAUGCAAGUCGAGCGAACGGACGAGAAGCUUGCUUCUCUGAUGUUAGCGGCGGACGGGUAAGUAACACGUGGAUAACCUACCUAUAAGACUGGGAUAACUUCGGGAAACCGGAGCUAAUACCGGAUAAUAUUUUGAACCGCAUGGUUCAAAAGUGAAAGACGGUCUUGCUGUCACUUAUAGAUGGAUCCGCGCUGCAUUAGCUAGUUGGUAAGGUAACGGCUUACCAAGGCAACGAUGCAUAGCCGACCUGAGAGGGUGAACGGCCACACUGGAACUGAGACACGGUCCAGACUCCUACGGGAGGCAGCAGUAGGGAAUCUUCCGCAAUGGGCGAAAGCCUGACGGAGCAACGCCGCGUGAGUGAUGAAGGUCUUCGGAUCGUAAAACUCUGUUAUUAGGGAAGAACAUAUGUGUAAGUAACUGUGCACAUCUUGACGGUACCUAAUCAGAAAGCCACGGCUAACUACGUG